AUACGGAGGGUGCAAGCGUUAAUCGGAAUUACUGGGCGUAAAGGGCGCGUAGGUGGUUUAAGAGGUUGGAUGUGAAAGCCCUGGGCUUAACCUGGGAAUGGCAUCCAAUACGUUUAGACUAGAGUACAUCAGAGGUAAGUGGAAUUUCCGGUGUAGCGGUGAAAUGCGUAGAUAUCGGAAGGAACACCAGUGGCGAAGGCGGCUUACUGGGCUGAUACUGACACUGAUGCGCGAAGGCGUGGGGAGCAAACAGAAGUAGAAACCCCAGUAGUCC
rnacentral:rRNA from 1 species